rnacentral:rRNA from 1 species
AGUGAACGCUGGCGGCGUGCUUAACACAUGCAAGUCGAACGAGAACGGGUUAUAGCUUGCUAUAAUUGUCAGCUAAGUGGCGCACGGGUGAGUAAUGUAUAGGUAAUAUGCCUCUUACUAAGGGAUAACAAAUGGAAACGUUAGCUAAUACCUUAUACUCCUUAUUAACAGAAGUUAAUAAGGGAAAGAUUUAUUGGUAAGAGAUUAGCCUGUAUUGUAUCAGUUAGUUGGUGGGGUAAUGGCUUACCAAGACUAUGACACAUAACUGGUUUGGGAGGAUGAUCAGUCACACUGGAACUGAGACACGGUCCAGACUCCUACGGGAGGCAGCAGUGGGGAAUAUUGCACAAUGGACGAAAGUCUGAUGCAGCAACGCCGCGUGGAGGAUGACACAUUUCGGUGCGUAAACUCCUUUUAUAUGAGAAGAUAAUGACGGUAUUAUAUGAAUAAGCACCGGCUAACUCCGUGCCAGCCGCCGCCGUAA